GGGUCGAUGGCGUAGUUGGUUAUCGCAUCUGUCUCACAUUUUCGUCUCAUGAUGACCAUGUGCACAGGAGGUCCUCAGUUCGAGCCUGGGUCGACUCA